ensembl:snRNA U1 U1 spliceosomal RNA
UUGCCAACUUGGUACAGGAGAUACCAUGAUCAUGAAGGUGCUUUUCUCAGGAGAAGGCUUAUCCAUUGCAUUCCAGAUAUCCUGACCCUUUGGAUUUCUCCACAGGUGAGAAAUUCCACUGCAUAAUUUCUGAUGGUGAGAGAAUGCAUUCAUGCUUUGCCCUGA